UCCCGGAUGUGAGUUUAGGCCAGGUGUA
rnacentral:piRNA from 1 species